rnacentral:rRNA from 1 species
CCUACGGGCGGCUGCAGUGGGGAAUUUUGCGCAAUGGGGGAAACCCUGACGCAGCAACGCCGCGUGAGUGAUGAAGGCCUUCGGGUCGUAAAGCUCUGUCAGAGGGAAAGAAGUGCGAGAGGGUUAAUACCCCUUUUGCUUGACGGUACCCUCAAAGGAAGCACCGGCUAACUCCGUGCCAGCAGCCGCGGUAAUACGGAGGGUGCGAGCGUUGUUCGGAAUUAUUGGGCGUAAAGCGCGUGUAGGCGGUCUUUUAAGUCUGAUGUGAAAGCCCCGGGCUCAACCUGGGAAGUGCAUUGGAAACUGGGAGACUUGAAUACGGGAGAGGGUAGUGGAAUUCCUAGUGUAGGAGUGAAAUCCGUAGAUAUUAGGAGGAACACCGGUGGCGAAGGCGGCUACCUGGACCGAUAUUGACGCUGAGACGCGAAAGCGUGGGGAGCAAACAGGAUUAGAUACCCUUGUAGUC